GACGAACGCUGGCGGCGUGCUUAACACAUGCAAGUCGAACGGAAAGGCCCUGCUUUUGUGGGGUGCUCGAGUGGCGAACGGGUGAGUAACACGUGAGUAACCUGCCCUUGACUUUGGGAUAACUUCAGGAAACUGGGGCUAAUACCGGAUAGGAGCUCCUGCUGCAUGGUGGGGGUUGGAAAGUUUCGGCGGUUGGGGAUGGACUCGCGGCUUAUCAGCUUGUUGGUGGGGUAGUGGCUUACCAAGGCUUUGACGGGUAGCCGGCCUGAGAGGGUGACCGGCGCGGUGGGGACGGAGAUGCGGCCGGGGGUCGGGGGGGAGGCUGGGGUGGGAAAGGUGGUACAGUGGGGGCCAGGCGGGUGCAGCGACGCGGCGGGGGGGAGGCCGGGCUUCGUGUGGAACACCGCUGUCCCCUGGGACGAAGGGUGAGGGACUGUAAGGGGAAAAGCAGCACAGGACAACUACGCGCCAGCGGCCGCGAUAAUAGG
rnacentral:rRNA from 1 species